rnacentral:lncRNA from 1 species
GUCCCGCCUGCUUUUCCUCCUUGCCCUCCCCUCUGGUCCUUCCUCUCUCUCCUCUGGGGAUGCUUCAGUUUCUCUGUGAUAUGGACCCUGUGGCCAGCAGCAGCAUCAGGCCCGAGCCAGACUCUCAUUACCUCCAGUUUCAAACUCAGCCUCACGUCCUCUGGAACCGGCUUCCUGAAGCCUGGGACAGUGCGGAAGGAGAGUUUAAUACAGCAGCUCAACUGGGCUUGAGAAUCAGAUAAGCCGGAGUUCGCCUCCUACCGCCAGCUGGGUGACCUGAGCAUGCGUGCUUCAUGGGCUCCACCUCUCCUUCAUUAUUUGGAAAAUGGGAUCGUGCUAGUACCUGUCUGAAGGAGCUCACGGAACAGCGUGGAGCACAUGGCAAGUUGUUGUGAUGUUGGCUAUGAAGGAGCCAAGAAACAAAAGCAGGAUCGUACAGCUGGGAGGUUGCUGGAGCCAGGAUUCAAACCCCCCCGCCAAAAGCUGUCAGACCCUGAACGCUGUCCCCCUUUUCCACCAGCAG